UUACGGUCAUGUCACGUUGAAAUACCGGUUUCCAUGAGACCACCAAAGUUAAGCAACGUCGAACCUGGUCAGUAACCUAGAUGGAUAACCGCUUAGGAAUACUAGGUGCUGUA